UACAGAGGGGGCAAGCGUUAUUCGGAAUUAUUGGGCGUAAAGGGCGCGUAGGCGGCUUUGCAAGUGACGGGUGAAAUCCCUCGGCUUAACCGAGGAACUGCCUGUCAGACUGCAUGGCUUGAGACCAGGAGAGGUGAGUGGAAUUCCCAGUGUAGCGGUGAAAUGCGUAGAUAUUGGGAGGAACACCAGUGGCGAAGGCGGCUCACUGGACUGGUACUGACGCUGAUGCGCGAAAGCGUGGGGAGCGAACAGG
rnacentral:rRNA from 1 species